AUGCUCGCUUCGGAAGCACAUAUACUAAAAUUGGAACGAUACACAGAAGAUUUGCAUGGCCCCUGCGCAAUAAACUAGAACUGUCACUAGAAGCUAAAAUGAUGA